rnacentral:rRNA from 1 species
GACGAACGCUGGCGGCGUGCUUAACACAUGCAAGUCGAACGGAAAGGCCCUGCUUUUGUGGGGUGCUCGAGUGGCGAACGGGUGAGUAACACGUGAGUAACCUGCCCUUGACUUUGGGAUAACUUCAGGAAACUGGGGCUAAUACCGGAUAGGAGCUCCUGCUGCAUGGUGGGGGUUGGAAAGUUUCGGCGGUGGGGGAUGGACUCGCGGCUUAUCAGCUGGUUGGUGGGGUAGGGGCUUACCAAGGCUUUGACGGGUAGCCGGCCUGAGAGGGUGACCGGCCACCUUGGGACUGAGGUACGGCCCAGACGCCUACGGGCGGCAGCAGUGGGGAAUAUUGCACAAUGGGCGGAAGCCUGAUGCAGCAACGCCGCGUGCGGGAUGACGGCCUUCGGGUUGUAAACCGCUUUCGCCUGUGACGAAGCGUGAGUGACGGUAAUGGGUAAAGAAGCACCGGCUAACUACGUG